rnacentral:lncRNA from 1 species
CUCCCCACCUCCCUGGCUCCUCUGUUGAUGGAAUUCCCCAGAUGAGAAUAGUGGAGUGGGUUGCCAUUUCCUUCUCCUGGGGACCUUCCUGACCCAGGAGUUAAACCUCCGUCUUCUACGUGGCAGGCAGAUUCUUUACCACUGAGCCACCGGGAAGCCCUCUGUAUUGUUUACCUGCUACCUAUCUUUAUUGCCCCUCUCCUCCCUCCUAGAAUAUGAGCCCCCAGGAAGCUAAGGAUCUUUGUGUGUGUGUUCUCUGCAGUAUCCUAAGCACCCUGCAUCAUGCCAGGCACAUAGUAGGUCCUCAUAGGUGUAUGUUGAAUGCUGGGUCGUUGGGGGGUCCUCUGUAGAGCCCCCAACUCAAGACAUUUUCAUCACAUCUUAGGAUCUGGAAAGUCUCUUUGCCUGUAGGAAUUUUUUUUAAUUAAGAUUUUUAUCAUUGUCAACCCCUUCCCCCUUCCAGUUCAUUUAAGACUGUUAUGAAACAAAACUCAUUAUGCUUCAAAAUCUGACGGAGCUCAGGCCCCGAGGAAAGUGAGAGGCGGCGGCAACAGCUCCCCGCCUGCCCCCCUCUCCUUGGUUUUUUCUGGGUGGUUGGUUCACUUAGGACGUCCCAAAGCCCACAGAGGAGAGGGGAGCAGGGGUCCCAGACCCCUCGGUGCAUCCGAGGGAGAGUGUGUGGUCAGCCAGAGAGGGGACGCCUGCCUUCCUGCAGUGAAGGCUUUUCGCCAGUCGCCAGUGCCCAGGGCGGAAGGAAGAGGAGGCAGGCUGGAGAGGAGAAGAGCGAGAAGGGACCAUGAGAACCAGGCCUCCUCUCCCCACCUGCCCAGCAGCAUGAGAGCAGCAUGACUGGCCGGCCACAGGAGAAGCCCCCAGAGCCAGGCCCCCAUCUCAACCAGCUGCUGCAGAAGUCAAGGUGUGAGCAGCAUCUCUUCACCACGGUGGCAUUUGGUCCGUCCCUUAGCCCGGGUGAGGAUGUAAAACCCCUCGCUCUGCACAUGCGUGGUAGAGGCCAACAGGAACACCUGGCUGCAGCCACGGUCACGGACAUGUCAGCCGUGGAGUAGUGUGGACACUUUCUCUCUGCUUCUCAGGGUUUCAGUCCUUUCGGGUUUGUGUCAUUGACCUUUUUGUAUGGUUUUGUGGCUGGACGU